UCCACAGAAUCCUCUGAAUACCACCUCCACAAUGACUCAGACCUGUGGUCAUGUCAGGGUCUGUGAUGAAGAUAACUCAAACCUUUCUAUUGUUGCAGUUCAAGUCAGGAGUCCAAAAACCAACAUCACUGUGCAGACAUAUGCAUUUUUGGACCCAGGAAGCACAGGAACAUUCUGCACUGAAAGUUUGGCCCGGAAGCUGCAACUGAAAGGUAAAAGAACAAGCAUUCAACUGCAAACAAUGGGACACAAAGAUAUUGUGAGUACAAACAUCAUCUCUGGACUUCAAGUGGCAGCACUUGAUAGAAAUGAUUUCAUUGACCUUCCAGAUGUCAUGACACAGAAACUAAUGCCUGUUUCAAAGCAAAAUGUUCCACAACAGGAGGACAUCGACAAGUGGCCAUACCUGCAAAGCAUCAAGCUCCAUGACAUAGAUGCUGAUGUAGAUCUGCUCAUUGGCACAGAUGCACCUAAAGUAAUGGAGCCAUGGGAGCUGAUCAACAGUCAGGAGGAAGGCCCAUAUGCAGUUUGGACCCGAGUUGGAUGGGUCAUCAAUGGUCCACUCCGGAGUGAGAGGAACAAAACAGGCUAUCAUGCUUUCACUGUAAACAAGAUUUCUGUUAAACAUCUGGAAACAAUGUUGAUUGAACAAUACAAUCAUGAUUUCAAUGAAAAAACAUCCCAAGAGCAAAUUGAAAUGUCUAGAGAAGACAUCAAGUUCAUGAAUAUCAUGAAUAAUUCGGCACAAUUAAAAAAUGGACAUUAUUGUAUUGAUUUGCCUUUUAAAUCUGAAAGUUCCGUCUUGCCUAUUAAUCGUUGUGUUGCAGAACAACGUCUUCUGAGCCUGAAAAGAAAGUUUAACAUGAACAGCACCUUUAAGAAAGAUUACAUUGCAUUUAUGAAUGACAUGCUAUGUAAUGGAUAUGCUGAAAUUGUACCUGAUGAUCAAUUAAUGGGCAAUGAGGGCAAGGUGUGGUACAUACCCCACCACGGUGUUUAUCACCCCCGAAAAGGCAAAUUAAGAGUUGUUUUUGACUGUGCCGCAACAUUCAAGGGAAUCUCACUGAACUGCCAGCUGCUACAGGAACCUGAUCUGACUAACUCAGUUGUGGGAGUUCUUCUGCGUUUCAGACAAGAGCCAAUAGCAGUUAUGGCAGAUAUUCAAGCUAUGUUCCACCAGGUUCAUGUUCCAGAGAAACACAGAGACUGUCUUCGCUUCCUCUGGUGGCCCAAUGGUGACACAUCGCAAGUUCCACAGGAAUAUCGGAUGACAGUACAUCUGUUUGGAGCAGUGUCCUCCCCAAGCUGUGCAAAUUAUGCAUUAAGAAGAACAGCAGAAGAUAAUGCUCAGCAGUUUCCAGCUGAAGUGGAGGAUUUAAGCUCUCAAAGUGGCUCAGUAACAGUCCCGCCGUUCUGCAAAUGGUUUCGGGCAACACCAAAGCAAAAGAAAUGUUAGAAAUGGAUUUGGAGCUUCCAAUGGAACGUGCACUUGGAUUGCAGUGGUGCCUUCAAAGUGACUCCUUUAAAUUUAAAGCUUCCCUUCCAGAGCGGUCUCGCACAAGAAGAGGAAUACUGUCAGUGAGCUCUGCAGGAGAAACUUGGGCUGGGAUGAUGCAGUUCACCAUCAUUUUUCCAAACAAUGGACCGACUGGCUGGAUGACCUGAAGAGGAUCUCAAAGUUUGAAGAAGGAGCCACAUGUUGUCCAGGCUGCGUCGGAAAUACUGGAUAAUCAGCGCAAACUCUGCUGCCAGAAAGAUCCUGUCUGACUGUGUCACCUGCAGAAGAAAUAGAGGAAAGCUUCUAGAACAAAAAAUGGCCGACUUGCCCCAGGAAAGGGUAAAACCAGACAAACCUCCAUUCUUAGAUGUAUGUGUUGAUUAUUUUGGCCCCAUUGAUGUUAAGAGAGGCAGAAGUCUUCUCAAACGUUAUGGAGUCUUAUUUACUUGCCCAACUAGUCGUGCCGUCCAUUUGGAAGUGGCUCAUACCCUUGAUACUGAUUCUUGCAUUAAUGCAAUCAGAAGAUUCAUCUGCAGGCGUGGUCCAGUCUCUUCUAUCAGAUCAGAUAAUGGCACAAAUUUUGUGGGAGCCAAUAGAGAGCUAAAAGAAGGUCUGGCUGCAUUAAAUCAGAGUAAAAUCCAAAAGGCUCUGGUCCAAGAUGGCAUAAAUUGGCAUUUUAAUAUACCUGCAGCUUCACAUCAUGGUGGCAUCUGGGAACGUUUGAUUCGUUCAGUCAAGAGUGUACUCACCUCAGUUUUAAAACAGCAGGUUUUAGAUGAUGAAACUUUGCAAACUGUUUUCUGUGAGGCUGAAGCCAUUUUGAAUGACAGACCCAUCACUUUGGUCUCUGAUGAUCCAAACGAUUUAGAAGCCCUCACACCAAAUCACAUCCUGAUGUUAAAGAACCAACCUGUUCUGCCACCUGGACUGUUUCAGAAACAAGAUCUGUAUCUCAAACGCAGAUGGAAGCAAGUACAGUAUAUGGCUGAACUCUUUUGGAAAAGAUGGAUCACUGAGUAUCUGCCCUUACUGCAUGAAAGACAAAAAUGGAUGAGACGGAAAAGAAACAUCUCUCCUGGAGACAUUGUCCUGAUCGCAGAUGCUACUGCACCCCGAGGAUGUUGGCAGAUGGGGAGAGUCCUGGCAGUCAAAGCUGAUGGAGGAGGACUGGUUCGUUCAGUGCAACUGCAGACCAAAACCAGUGUGUUGGAGAGGCCAGUGACGAAGCUCUGUCUGCUCCUGGAGGCAUCUGCAGACUAAAGACAUUCUUAUUCUUUCUACUCUAUCCUAUUCUAUUCUUUCUUUUUUCUCUUGCAGGUUCGUCAUUAUGGAAAUGAAGGACAAAGAAGAAUUUAUGUCUUUGCAUUAAUGUAGGACAAUAUUGAGGUUGUUAGAAUAGCUCCUUUAAUUAGAGAUUUAAUUGUGAUUUAAUGCACAAUUAGGGGCUGGAGUGUAGGAGCUAUUUCUCCAUUAUUUUCAGUUAAAGUUUAGAAUGUAGAUUAUUUAGUUUAUUUUUUUGUUUUAUAGUUGAUUUAUA